ensembl:lncRNA
GACAAAUCAAAGAAGAGUAAAGGAAAACCUACCUUAUCCAUGCACUGUUGGCUACGGGCCAGAUCUUCAGCCAAACUUUUUAAUGAUCCAUCUCUACAUGAGAAUUUUCUUGUGCUUAAAUUCAUGAUUACCUCCAAAUUUGAAGAUUCAAGGAAGAAAUUCUUUACUCAGAAGGCUGUGAGGCACUGUAACAGGUUGCCCAGAGAAGUUCUGGAUACCCUAACCCUGGAGGCGUUCAAGGCCACAGCUGGAUGAGCUGCGGGGAGCCUCAGCUGGUGGGUGGCAGCCCUGUCCACAGCAUGAGCACCAGUCAUAGAACCACAGAGCCAUAGAACCAUAGAAUCACAGAACCACUAAGAUUGGAAACGACCUCCAUGAUCAUCCAGUCCAACCUCCUACCUAUCACCAAUAUUUUCCCACUAAACCACAUCCCUCAAGUACAGCAUCUGAAUGUUUCUUGAGCACCUCCAAGGACAGUGACUCCAUCAUCUCCCUAAGCAUCCUGUUACCAUGCUCGACAACUCUCUUGGAGAAAAAGUAUUUCCUAACAUCCGACCUGAAUCUCAUCUGAAUCUCCCCUGGUGCAAUGUGAGGCCCUUCCCUCUAGUCCUAUCACUAGUUACAUGGGAGAAGAGGCCAACCUCCAUCUCACCACAACCUUCUUUCAAGUUGUUGUAGAGAGUGAUAAGGUCUACCCUGAGCCUCUUCUUCUCCAGACUAAAUAUUCCCAGAUCCCUCAGCCACUCCUCGUAAGACUUGCGCUCCAGACCCCUCACCAGCUUCACUGCCCUUCUCUGAACAUGCUCCAGGGCCUCAAUGUCUUUCUUGGAAUGAGGAGCCCAAAACUGAACACAGUACUCAAAGCGUGAUCUCACCAGUGCCAAGUACAGGGGAAUUAUUACUUCCCUGCUCCUGCUGGCAACACUAUUUCUGAUACAAGCUAGGAUUCCAUUGGCCACCUUGGCCACCUGGUCACACUUCUGGCUCAUGUUCAUUUGAGAGUCAAUCAAUACCCCCAGGUCCAUUUCCUCUACACAGUCUUCCAGCCACUCUGCCCCAAGCCUGUAGUGUCGCCUGAGGUUGUUGUGGCCAAAGUGCUGGACCCAGCACUUGGUCUUGUUGAACUUCAUCCCACUGGCCUCAGCCCAGCUACCCAGCCUGUCCAGAUUGCUCUAUAGGGCCUUCCUACCCCCAGGCAGAUCAACGCUUCUCCCCAGCUUGGUGUCAUCUGCAAACUUACUGAGGGUACACUCAAUGCCCUCAUCCAGGUCAUCAGUAAAGAUAUUGAAAAGGACAAGCCCCAGUACCAACC